rnacentral:rRNA from 1 species
UCAGGACGAACGCUGGCGGCGUGCUUAACACAUGCAAGUCGAGCGAUGAAGCUCUUCGGAAGUGGAUUAGCGGCGGACGGGUGAGUAACACGUGGGUAACCUGCCUCAUAGAGGGGAAUAGCCUUCCGAAAGGAAGAUUAAUACCGCAUAAGAUUGUAAUAUCGCAUGAUAUAGCAAUUAAAGGAGUAAUCCGCUAUGAGAUGGACCCGCGUCGCAUUAGCUAGUUGGUGAGGUAACGGCUCACCAAGGCGACGAUGCGUAGCCGACCUGAGAGGGUGAUCGGCCACAUUGGGACUGAGACACGGCCCAGACUCCUACGGGAGGCAGCAGUGGGGAAUAUUGCACAAUGGGGGAAACCCUGAUGCAGCCAACGCCGCGUGAGUGAUGACGGUCUUCGGAUUGUAAAGCUCUGUCUUCAGGGACGAUAAUGACGGUACCUGAGGAGGAAGCCACGGCUAACUACGUGCCAGCCGCAGC